CCUACGGGUGGCAGCAGUGGGGAAUAUUGCACAAUGGGGGAAACCCUGAUGCAGCGACGCAGCGUGAGUGAAGAAGUAAUUCGUUAUGUAAAGCUCUAUCAGCAGGGAAGAAAAUGACGGUACCUGAGUAAGAAGCCCCGGCUAACUACGUGCCAGCAGCCGCGGUAAUACGUAGGGGGCCAGCGUUAUCCGGAUUUACUGGGUGGAAAGGGAGCGUAGACGGCAGUGCAAGUCUGGAGUGAAAGGCGGGGGCUCAACCCCCGGACUGAGCUGGAAAAUGGACGGCUGGAGUGCAGGAGAGGUAAGUGGAAUUCCUAGUGUAGCGGUGAAAUGCGUAGAUAUUAGGAGGAACACCAGUGGCGAAGGCGGCUUACUGGACUGUAACUGACGUUGAGGCUCGAAAGCGUGGGGAGCAAACAGGAUUAGAUACCCUAGUAGUC
rnacentral:rRNA from 1 species